rnacentral:rRNA from 1 species
CCUGCCCACUGAAAUUUUUUGAAUGGCCGCAGUAAUUUGACUGUGCAAAGGUAGCAUAAUCAUUAGUUUUUUAAUUAAAAGCUUGUAUGAAGGGUUGGACGAGGUAAAGUCUGUCUUUAUUUAAAUAAUUAUAGAAUUUAAUUUUUAAGUUAAAAAGCUUAAAUUUAAAUAAAAGACGAGAAGACCCUAUAGAUCUUUAUAUUAUUUUUUAUAAUUUUAUUUUAGAAUAUUUUAUUUUUUAUAAAAAAAAAUAUUUAAUUGGGGUAAUUAAAAGAUUUAAUUAAUUCUUUUUAUAUAUUUUCAUUAAUUUAUGAAUUUGUGAUCCAAUAAUUUUGAUUAUAAGAUUAAGUUACCUUAGGGAUAACAGCGUAAUUUUUUUUGAGAGUUCAUAUCGAUAAAAAAGUUUGCGACCUCGAUGUUGGAUUAAAAAUUAUUUUAGGCGUAGAAGUUUAAAAAUUUGGUCUGUUCGACCAUUGAAUUUUUACAUGAUCUGAGUUCAGACCGGUGUAAACCAGGUCGGUUUCUAUCUUUAUUUAUUUAUAAUAUUUUAGUACGAAAGGACCAAAUAUUAAAUAUAUUUAUAUUUAUAAUUUUGAAUAUUAUUAA